UUAGUCACGUCUACGCUAGUGGGGCGGAUAUGUGACAUUUUUUACUUAAAGUGUGCACUUCUGGAAAGAAGCAUGAAAAUUUGCUCUAGGGGGGUUUUGA